GAUGAACGCUGGCGGCGUGCCUAAUACAUGCAAGUCGAGCGAAUGGAUUAAGAGCUUGCUCUUAUGAAGUUAGCGGCGGACGGGUGAGUAACACGUGGGUAACCUGCCCAUAAGACUGGGAUAACUCCGGGAAACCGGGGCUAAUACAGGAUAACAUUUUGAACCGCAUGGUUCGAAAUUGAAAGGCCGCUUCGGCUGUUACUUAUGGAUGGACCCGGGUCGCAUUCGCUCGUUGGGGAGGUAAUGGCUCACCAAGGCAACGAUGCGUAGCCGACCUGAGAGGGUGAUCGGCCACACUGGGACUGAGGCACGGCCCAGACUCCUACGGGAGGCAGCAGUAGGGAAUCUUCCGUAAUGGACGGAAGUCUGACGGAGCAACGCCGCGUGAGUGAUGAAGGCUUUCGGGUCGUAAAACUCUGUUGUUAGGGAAGAACAAGUGCUAGUUGAAUAAGCUGGCACCUUGACGGUACCUAACCAGAAAGCCACGGCUAACUACGUGCCAGCCGCCGCCGUAA
rnacentral:rRNA from 1 species